rnacentral:rRNA from 1 species
GAUGAACGCUGGCGGCGUGCUUAACACAUGCAAGUCGAACGGAAAGGCUCCUGCUUGCAGGGGUACUCGAGUGGCGAACGGGUGAGUAACACGUGGGUGAUCUGCCCUGCACUUCGGGAUAAGCCUGGGAAACUGGGUCUAAUACCGGAUAGGACGAUGGUUUGGAUGCCAUUGUGGAAAGUUUUUUCGGUGUGGGAUGAGCUCGCGGCCUAUCAGCUUGUUGGUGGGGUAAUGGCCUACCAAGGCGUCGACGGGUAGCCGGCCUGAGAGGGUGUACGGCCACAUUGGGACUGAGAUACGGCCCAGACUCCUACGGGAGGCAGCAGUGGGGAAUAUUGCACAAUGGGCGCAAGCCUGAUGCAGCGACGCCGCGUGGGGGAUGACGGCCUUCGGGUUGUAAACUACUUUCGCUAGGGACGAAGCGCAAGUGACGGUACCUGGAGAAGAAGCACCGGCUAACUACGUG